rnacentral:rRNA from 1 species
ACGAACGCUGGCGGCGUGCUUAACACAUUCCAGUCGAACGGAAAGGCCCUGCUUUUUUGGGGUUCUCGAGUGGCGAACGGGUGAUUAACACGUGAUUAACCUUCCCUUUUCUUUGGGUUAACUUCAUGAAACUGGGGCUUAUACCGGAUAGUAGCUCCUUCUGCCUGGUGGGGUUUGGAUAGUUUCGGCGGUUGGGGCUGGACUCGCGGCUUAUCAGCUUUUUGGUGGGGUAGUGGCUUACCAAGGCUUUGACGGGUAGCCGGCCUGAGAGGGUGACCGGCCACAAUGGGACAGAGAGACGGCCCAGACUCCUACGGGAGGCAGCAGUGGGGAAUAGUGCACAAUGGGCGGAAGCAUGAUGCAGCAACGCCGCGUGCGGGAUGACGGCCUUCGGGUUGUAAACCGCUUUCGCCUGUGACGAAGCGUGAGUGACGGUAAUGGGUAAAGAAGCACCGGCUAACUACGUG